UACGUAGGGCGCAAGCGUUGUCCGGAAUUAUUGGGCGUAAAGAGCUCGUAGGCGGUUUGUCGCGUCUGCUGUGAAAACCUAAGGCUCAACCUUGGGCUUGCAGUGGGUACGGGCAGACUAGAGUGCGGUAGGGGUGACUGGAAUUCCUAGUGUAGCGGUGGAAUGCGCAGAUAUCAGGAGGAACACCGAUGGCGAAGGCAGGUCACUGGGCCGCAACUGACGCUGAGGAGCGAAAGCAUGGGGAGCGAACAGG
rnacentral:rRNA from 1 species